UGUAAGCGUAUACCAAAGUUGUUGCAGUUAAAACGCUCGUAGUCGGAAUUUGGCAGUUCCGGAUGUGUGCACGUCGUGUGCGCACUUCGCGGGGAUUGCUUUUGUGGUCUUGCGUAGGAUGAGGCACUUUUAUUAGUGAACGUCCUCACGCAACCACUUUUUACUGUGAGAAAAUCAGAGUGCUCAAAGCAGGCAUUUGCCGUGAAUGUAUUAGCAUGGAAUAAUAGAAUAGGACUUGGUUCUAUUUUGUUGGUUUGUUGGGACUGAGUAAUGAUUAAGAGGGACAGUUGGGGGCAUUUGUAUUUCGGUGCUAGAGGUGAAAUUCUUAGAUUACCGAAAGACAAACUGCUGCGAAAGCGUCUGCCAUGGAUGUUUUCAUUGA
rnacentral:rRNA from 1 species